rnacentral:lncRNA from 1 species
AAACCAGAUGCUCCGCAGGGCGCAGCUUUAUACGACCGCAGAGGUUGAACCCUGAAUGGUUGGGGCAAGUAUGGACACAACAUUCAAGCUGGAUUCAGCUCUAAAUUUGGAUUGUGAUUAAAUAGUUGACACAGCAUAGGUUUCUAACACAGAAUGAAUGUGGUCUAAUAAACUUAAAAUUUGUUUUUUGCCUUUGAGCAAUUCACUAUGCUGUUGAAUAUUAAUCCUCUCAAAAAAAUGUUUGAAGAAUUUUCUUUUUUUAUGAU